UGAUAGCUCAACUGGUAGAGUCUUCGGCGCAUAACUAAAAAAUCCGGGUUCGAAUCCCGGGUUCGAAU
rnacentral:tRNA from 1 species